GUCGCGCCAUUAUGCCGGCAUGGCAUUUCGCCGGCAGCAGGGGCUAACCGUGCCAUGGUUGUGGGGGUUAGUUCGUGCCAUGCAGCGGGAUGAGGCUGUCGCCCGGCUAUAAGGGCGCAGCGCCGGCCUGUACCGGCGCUGCUUUCUCGUUACUCCCAACUGUGCAUAGGUUUACUCUUAUGUGCACCAACAACGGAUCGACGUCUGUAACGAACUCUGGUGGACAGCGCACUGGGUUCCGGAAGUCAUCUGUUGGGGCGUCUUCGGGUUGCAGCCAAGUCUAGGCGCGCAGGCGCAUAGCAACGUCACUCUAGCCUAGCAACCACGCAUCACCGUCAGCUGAGCUGCCAAACGGACUAGUUAGGCGAGGAGACAGCCGCCGGCUUCGCAAGUCUCGGAUACCGGUUCUCGAGCGCGCUGCUUGGGCAGCCUGCGGAGGCGCCGGUCGGCCUAUCCUGCAGCCACCAAGUAACGAGAAAGCAGCCGGCAACUACAGCUGUGGUGACGGCGACGUGGGAGCUCGCGGCGAGCCGACAACAUCACCGACGCUCGGGGACGCCUCCAUUAGUCCUGCUUAGCGGCAUUAUGGAAACUUUGCCAUGUAUUGACACUCUUGGCUGCAGAAGAGUUGUCUUUCCGUGUUUGGUAGCACUGGCCACUGUGGGCAACGGACCUAGAGAGUUCUCUAAACAGUAGAAGAAUUCCAACAGUGAGGAUCCUGGCCAUUCAUGGAGAGCGGCUUUAUGGAGUUAUUGAGCCGCGUCGAGGGUGGUGAAUGGACAUGAACAUGCUCGGCGGACUGUGCGAGACUGCUUGCGAGUGGUCUUUGUAUGUUGUCAUUGUGACAUGUCCACGGUGAUUCUGGAUCGCCGGGGACGUAAGCUGGGGGGACCGCGUGCCCGCGGUUUCGUGUGCCCCGCAGCCGGUUGCCGGAGACAAGCGUCACAUUCAGGCGUGCCCUUGAGACGAGCUGCACGUAGAAGCUACUCACCUGGAUGCUGAUGAGCUGUGUGGGGCUUUCGGGCGCGUUUGAGCCCCUUUCGCUAUGGACUUGUGGACAGGCGGUCACACAUGGUGACAGCCUCGGGACUGCAAGUUUUCGUCCUCUCUGCUGUGGGGGGAAGUGGUGUGACCGGUGGCGGCGCCGUGCAAAGCCGGCAGAAUGACACGACAGCUGUCGCGCCAUUAUGCCGGCAUGGCAUUUCGCCGGCAGCAGGGGCUAACCGUGCCAUGGUUGUGGGGGUUAGUUCGUGCCAUGCAGCGGGAUGAGGCUGUCGCCCGGCUAUAAGGGCGCAGCGCCGGCCUGUACCGGCGCUGCUUUCUCGUUACUCCCAACUGUGCAUAGGUUUACUCUUAUGUGCACCAACAACGGAUCGACGUCUGUAACGAACUCUGGUGGACAGCGCACUGGGUUCCGGAAGUCAUCUGUUGGGGCGUCUUCGGGUUGCAGCCAAGUCUAGGCGCGCAGGCGCAUAGCAACGUCACUCUAGCCUAGCAACCACGCAUCACCGUCAGCUGAGCUGCCAAACGGACUAGUUAGGCGAGGAGACAGCCGCCGGCUUCGCAAGUCUCGGAUACCGGUUCUCGAGCGCGCUGCUUGGGCAGCCUGCGGAGGCGCCGGUCGGCCUAUCCUGCAGCCACCAAGUAACGAGAAAGCAGCCAGG
rnacentral:lncRNA from 1 species